UAUAAGGGAUUUUGAGUUUUUGCUUGCAACGUUUGACCACUCGUUUUAUUCAUUUUUUUUUGAAAUUAUUAUUUAUUUUAUUUGUGACUUACUUUAUUAUCUAUAAUACUUUAAGCACACCUUUUCGUUUUUUAUAUUUGCAAAAAAAAAUUGAAUAAGACGAGUGGUCAAACGUUGCAAAGAAAAACUUAAAAUCCCUUAUA
rnacentral:pre_miRNA from 1 species